AAAGUCAUAAGAAUUAACCCCCAACAGUGCCAGCACAGUGAAGCAGCUGCAUACAUUCUAAGACUCUAGUUCAGCUGCCAACAGACAAGAAAGUCCCAAUAAGUGGUUGGAAGUGAAAGAUUUGGUCUUACUAAAAAUUUGUGGUUGAGGGUCACUGAUGACAGCAUGUUGUGUUGUAGAAGAUAUUACAAUGGUAAGUAAAAGA